rnacentral:rRNA from 1 species
AGAGUUUGAUCCUGGCUCAGGACGAACGCUGGCGGCGCGCCUAACACAUGCAAGUCGAACGAGCGAGAGAGAGCUUGCUUUCUCAAGCGAGUGGCGAACGGGUGAGUAACGCGUGAGGAACCUGCCUCAAAGAGGGGGACAACAGUUGGAAACGACUGCUAAUACCGCAUAAGCCCACAGGUCGGCAUCGACCAGAGGGAAAAGGAGCAAUCCGCUUUGAGAUGGCCUCGCGUCCGAUUAGCUGGUUGGUGAGGUAACGGCCCACCAAGGCGACGAUCGGUAGCCGGACUGAGAGGUUGAACGGCCACAUUGGGACUGAGACACGGCCCAGACUCCUACGGGAGGCAGCAGUGGGGAAUAUUGCACAAUGGGGGAAACCCUGAUGCAGCGACGCCGCGUGGAGGAAGAAGGUCUUCGGAUUGUAAACUCCUGUUGUUGAGGAAGAUAAUGACGGUACUCAACAAGGAAGUGACGGCUAACUACGUGCCAGCAGCCGCGGUAAAACGUAGGUCACAAGCGUUGUCCGGAAUUACUGGGUGUAAAGGGAGCGCAGGCGGGAAGACAAGUUGGAAGUGAAAUCUAUGGGCUCAACCCAUAAACUGCUUUCAAAACUGUUUUUCUUGAGUAGUGCAGAGUAGGCGGAAUUCCCGGUGUAGCGGUGGAAUGCGUAGAUAUCGGGAGGAACACCAGUGGCGAAGGCGGCCUACUGGGCACCAACUGACGCUGAGGCUCGAAAGUGUGGGUAGCAAACAGGAUUAGAUACCCUGGUAGUCCACACCGUAAACGAUGAUUACUAGGUGUUGGAGGAUUGACCCCUUCAGUGCCGCAGUUAACACAAUAAGUAAUCCACCUGGGGAGUACGACCGCAAGGUUGAAACUCAAAGGAAUUGACGGGGGCCCGCACAAGCAGUGGAGUAUGUGGUUUAAUUCGACGCAACGCGAAGAACCUUACCAAGUCUUGACAUCCUGCGACGCACAUAGAAAUAUGUGUUUCCUUCGGGACGCAGAGACAGGUGGUGCAUGGUUGUCGUCAGCUCGUGUCGUGAGAUGUUGGGUUAAGUCCCGCAACGAGCGCAACCCUUACUGUCAGUUACUACGCAAGAGGACUCUGGCAGGACUGCCGUUGACAAAACGGAGGAAGGUGGGGAUGACGUCAAAUCAUCAUGCCCUUUAUGACUUGGGCCACACACGUACUACAAUGGCGUUAAACAAAGAGAAGCAAGACCGCGAGGUGGAGCAAAACUCAGAAACAACGUCCCAGUUCGGACUGCAGGCUGCAACUCGCCUGCACGAAGUCGGAAUUGCUAGUAAUCGUGGAUCAGCAUGCCACGGUGAAUACGUUCNCCGGGCCUUGUACACACCGCCCGUC